rnacentral:rRNA from 1 species
AGUUCUCGUUGAUGAUCGGUGCUUGCACCGAGAUUCAACAUGGAACGAGUGGCGGACGGGUGAGUAACACGUGGGUAACCUGCCCUUAAGUGGGGGAUAACAUUUGGAAACAGAUGCUAAUACCGCAUAGAUCCAAGAACCGCAUGGUUCUUGGCUGAAAGAUGGCGUAAGCUAUCGCUUUUGGAUGGACCCGCGGCGUAUUAGCUAGUUGGUGAGGUAACGGCUCACCAAGGCGAUGAUACGUAGCCGAACUGAGAGGUUGAUCGGCCACAUUGGGACUGAGACACGGCCCAAACUCCUACGGGAGGCAGCAGUAGGGAAUCUUCCACAAUGGACGCAAGUCUGAUGGAGCAACGCCGCGUGAGUGAAGAAGGCUUUCGGGUCGUAAAACUCUGUUGUUGGAGAAGAAUGGUCGGCAGAGUAACUGUUGUCGGCGUGACGGUAUCCAACCAGAAAGCCACGGCUAACUACGUGCCAGCAGCCGCGGUAAUACGUAGGUGGCAAGCGUUAUCCGGAUUUAUUGGGCGUAAAGCGAGCGCAGGCGGUUUUUUAAGUCUGAUGUGAAAGCCCUCGGCUUAACCGAGGAAGCGCAUCGGAAACUGGGAAACUUGAGUGCAGAAGAGGACAGUGGAACUCCAUGUGUAGCGGUGAAAUGCGUAGAUAUAUGGAAGAACACCAGUGGCGAAGGCGGCUGUCUGGUCUGUAACUGACGCUGAGGCUCGAAAGCAUGGGUAGCGAACAGGAUUAGAUACCCUGGUAGUCCAUGCCGUAAACGAUGAAUGCUAGGUGUUGGAGGGUUUC